rnacentral:rRNA from 1 species
AGCAGCCGCGGUAAUUCCAGCUCCAAUAGCGUAUAUUAAAGUUGUUGCAGUUAAAAAGCUCGUAGUUGAACUUCGGGGUCUACCCAUUGGUCAGGCUUAAUUGUCUGCACUGGUGAGAUGGAUCUCUACCUUCUGAGGAACUUUCAUGCCAUUUAUUUGGUGUGGUUGGAAAUCAGGACUGUUACUUUAGAAAAAAUUAGAGUAGUUUAAAGCAGACUAUCGUCUGAAUACAUUAGCAUGGAAUAAUGAAAUAGGACGGACUGAUUCUAUUUCGUGGUUUCUAGGAUCACCGUAAUGAUUAAUAGGGUAUAGUUGGGGGCAUUAGUAUUCAAUUGUCAG